rnacentral:rRNA from 1 species
UACGGAGGGUGCAAGCGUUAAUCGGAAUUACUGGGCGUAAAGCGCGCGUAGGCGGUUUUUUAAGUCGGAUGUGAAAGCCCCGGGCUCAACCUGGGAACUGCAUCCGAUACUGGAAGACUAGAAUGCGGGAGAGGGAGGUAGAAUUCCAUGUGUAGCAGUGAAAUGCGUAGAUAUAUGGAGGAAUACCAGUGGCGAAGGCGGCCUCCUGGCUCGACAUUGACGCUGAGGUGCGAAAGCGUGGGGAGCAGACGGG